rnacentral:rRNA from 1 species
ACCCUGACGCAGCCACGCCGUGUGAGUGAGGAAGGCCUUCGGGUUGUAAAGCUCUGUCAUCGGGGAAGAAACUCUAUCUGGGGAAAGUUCAGGUAGAUUGACGGUACCCGAGGAGGAAGCACCGGCUAACUCUGUGCCAGCAGCCGCGGUAAUACAGAGGGUGCGAGCGUUGUUCGGAAUUACUGGGCGUAAAGCGUUUGUAGGCGGUGCUGAGAGUCCUAGGUGAAAUCCCCGAGCUCAACUCGGGAACUGCCUAGGAGACCUCAGUACUAGAGUACUGAAGGGGUUACUAGAAUUCCAUGUGUAGCGGUGAAAUGCGUAGAUAUAUGGAGGAACACCUGUGGCGAAGGCGGGUAACUGGUCAGAGACUGACGCUGAGAAACGAAAGCGUGGGGAGCAAACAGGAUUAGAUACCCUGGUAGUCCACGCCGUAAACGAUGCAUACAAGUCGUAGCUGGGGUUGACUCCGGCUGUGACGAAGCUAACGCAAGUAGUAUGCCGCCUGGGGAGUACGGUCGCUAGACUAAACUCAAAUGUGAUUGACGGGGGCCCGCACAAGCGGUGGAUUAUGUGGUUCUAUUCGAAGCAACGCGAAACACCUUACCUGGAUUUGACAUGUCACGACCGCUGGAGAAAUCCAGUUUUCUCGCAAGAGACGUGAACACAGGUGCUGCAUGGCUGUCGUCAGCUCGUGUUGUGAAAUGUUGGGUUAAGUCCCGCAACGAGCGCAACCCCUGCGGUUAGUUGCCAGCAUUAAGUUGGGCACUCUAAUCGGACUGCCAGCGUUAAGCUGGAGGAAGGUGGGGACGACGUCAAGUCCUCAUGGCCCUUACAUCCAGGGCUACACACGUAAUACAAUGGGUAGGACAAAGGGUUGCCAACCAGCAAUGGGGAGCUAAUCUCAAAAACCUGCCCUCAGUUCGGAUUGGAGGCUGCAAUUCGCCUCCAUGAAGGUGGAAUCGCUAGUAAUCGUAGAUCAGAACGCUACGGUGAAUACGUUCCCGGGCCUUGUACACACCGCCCGUCACACCAUGGGAGUUAAUUUCACCAGAAGUCGCCUCUGGCGCCAAAGGUGG